AAAAGAAAGAAAAAAAGAAAAAGGAAAAGAAAAGAAAGAAAAUGUGUCAGUUUGGAGACCCACUGAUGAGAAAGAGCCACAGGGUGACCUCCUGUCUUGUGCAUGCAAGUCAUGCACUACUGUAGGUCUGCAACAAAGCUGCCCUGGGCAGACAAGGCAGGGGAGAAAGAGGUUGUGUUAGUCUGCUUAGGCUGCCAUAACAAAAUACCAGACUGGGUGGCUUCGACAACAGACAUUUAUUUCUCACAGUUCUGGGGGCUGAGAAGUCCAAGAUCAAGGUGCUGCCAAUUUGGUUCCUGGUGAAUGAGCAAACAGCACAGAAAAAGAAACAGCAGUAUAUGUGGAAGAAAGCAAGAAAAAUCAACUGGCCUGGAACCUAAGACUUGUCCAAAGAUGUCACAGAGAGUAAAAUGAGAAAAAUCCAGUAGCCCGUGCCCAGAGCAGUUCCUCGUACCCAGCAGAAGGCUAACAAGCCCUGAGAUGAAUGAUGCUCUUCCCAAGGAAGGCAGAGGAGGCGACAGUCCAUUUGCGUUCUCUCCUCUGCAAGUACAGGAUCUCGUUUGAUUCUCAAAACCACCCUAGAGGAGACAGGAGGCACCUGAGGCCCAGAGACGUGAAGCCACCUGUCCAAGGCCAUACAGCAGAUAACUUAUUCUGGAGGAAGACACCUGCCAUGCCGUGAGGACAGUCAAGCAGUUCUGUGGAGAGAUCCAUGUGGUGAGAAACAGGGGCCUCCUGUCAACAGGAAGAACAACCUGGCAGGCCUGUCUUGGAUUCAGAGCCUCCAGCCCCAGUCGAGCCUUCAGAUAACUGCACCCUUGGCUGUCAUCUCAACUGCAAUCUCACGACAGACCCUGAGCUGGAACUACUCUGUUUACCAAUGCCUGGCCCACAGAAAGACUAUGAGAUAAAACAAGUAUAUUGUUUUUAGAA
rnacentral:lncRNA from 1 species